GCCGAGAUAGCAAAGCCAGGUAAUGCGCCGGACUUGAGAUCCGGUGGGCAGUCGCCCGCAUGGGUUCGAAUCCCAUUCUCGGCG
rnacentral:tRNA from 1 species